AGCACCCAUGUUCCUUCCAGUCUCCCACCCAACCACCGAUUCAAGUUAGGCAUGGAGCCCGAGCCACCGAGUCAGUUUGAUGUCAGUUUAAGUGAAAAUAUGGGCGACACUGGAUUGUCGCCAGUUCCUCUGCCGAAUGAAUCAACUAGCAUCAGAUCUCCAAGUGCAUUUCCUGCUGUGCCAGCUCCUCAUAGAAACAUAUGGAAGCUUGCUAGUAGAGGCCGAGGGAAAACUUUGUGAACUUUUAAACUUCUUUAAUUGUUGUAUUUGAAUUCCUUUUGUUGUUAAAUUUCAUUAGACCAAGGCUUUGUUAGCUAUUGUGUAUUUAUGUUGGUGGAUUUCAAUGUUAUGACUUUGUGAAA